AGAGUUUGAUCAUGGCUCAGAAUGAACGCUGGCGGCGUGCCUAACACAUGCAAGUCGAGCGAGAAAGUUCCUUCGGGAAUGAUAAGUGUAGAGUACACGAGCGGCGGACGGGUGAGUAACACGUGGGAAUCUACCCCCAAAACUGAGGGAUAAGCAUCGGAAACGGUGUCUAAUACCGCAUAUGGUCUUCGGAUUAAAGCUUCGGCGGUUUGGGAAGAGCCCGCGUAAGAUUAGCUAGUUGGUGAGGUAAUGGCCCACCAAGGCGACGAUCUUUAGCUGGUUUGAGAGGAUGAUCAGCCACACUGGAACUGAGACACGGUCCAGACUCCUACGGGAGGCAGCAGUUAGGAAUUUUCCACAAUGGGGGCAACCCUGAUGGAGCAACGCCGCGUGCAGGAUGAAGGUUUUCGGAUUGUAAACUGCUUUUGUACGUGAAGAAUAUGACGGUAGCGUACGAAUAAGGAUCGGCUAACUCCGUG
rnacentral:rRNA from 1 species